rnacentral:rRNA from 1 species
AUAUUCGAUGAGACGUAAAUAUAACAACGAAAUGCGUAGCCUGUUUUUUUCUUUAAUUCGGUCUGCGCUUUCUCAAGAGAAAUCCAAAAACUUUUUAAUAGUUUGCGAAUUGAUACAUCUUAGUAGCAAUCCUUAAAAUCAAAAGAGAAAAUGAGAGUAAUGGCGAAUGAAAUCUUUGACAAUGUUAUCCGCUGCUUUUUAAAAACAAAAGACUACAGUAUAGGGGUAGUUUGUCCCGUAGUUUUACACGCAGCGUUAGAAUGUUAUGUAUGAUAUUAUAUAACUUUGUAAGAUUAAUUACAACUUUUAAAAAUAUAUUACUGAUAGUGAACUAGUACUGUGAAGGAAAGUUGCCUCUAUGGGAGGAAUAGAAACUAAAUGCAAUUAAAAUAAUCUUUUUCACAAGAAAGGUGUACUUUUUGCAUUACGGUUCGACUAGUUGGAUUAAAUGGCAAGCUUAAUGUAUGUAAGUAUUAAAGGCGAAGAAAACACGAAAUAGUCAUUUGUUUCAGACACGAAACCACUGUGAUCUAUUCAAGUUCUGAUUGAAUGUCUAGUAUAAAUAGGCAGGAGGAUCUAACCGGUGUUUGUUGCAAAAAACUCGGAUGACACUUGAAUAGGGGUGAAAGGCUAAUCAAACGUGGCGAUAGCUUGUUUUCCGCGAAACUCCUUUUAGGGAGGCUAUUAAAUUAUUGGGCUGCUGGGUAAAGCACUUAUUCGACUGAGGUUGCGUAACUGCAUGACGAGGUCGAUUAAAACUCUGAAUACGUAGUCCUGUUUAGUAAGUCAGACUAUUGGCCAAAAAGUCAAUAAGUCAAAAGGGUAACAACCCAUGGGAAUGCUUUCUAAGGGUUUUUAGUAAAGAACUAAUUAAAAGGAUAUCGGCACUUAAAACUUUGUUUAAGUUAGCUUAGAAACAGCUAUCGAUUUAAGAAAACGUAACAGUUCAGAUGUUUAUUAUUUGUCGCUACCGAAAAUAUAGUGAAUUUAAGAACUCCCCGAAGAAGCAUAACAAAGUACACAAUGUACUUUGUUGGUAGCGGAACAUUCUGAAAAAUACAUUUCUCAAUUCGUGAGAACUGAGAAAUUACACAGAAGAGAUAAUGUCGAAAUGAGUAGCGAAAAAAGAAUAUAUAAUCUUUCACUAAGCACCUAAGGUUUUCCACGUAACAUUACUUUCGUGAAGUUAUUCGAGCUCUUAUUCAUAGAUGAAAAUUUUAAUGAAGAUGAGAAAGUGUUGUACCGCUAAUAACAGUUCUAAGACAAAAACUACGAGUUUUUAAAAAGGUGUGGGUUACUUUCUUCUACGAGUAGUUUUUCUGGAAAACUCCUGUAAUUAGUACACGGGCCAACUACGAUUCGUACUUAAACCAAAAAAGGUAGGUGUGUUUAAUAUGGUGUAGAAUUAAAGGAAGGUAUGGAACUCGGCAAAUUUUUCCUGUAACUUCGGGAUAAAGGAAGACAAGUCAUGUUACAUGGCUUGUUGUAAUCAAAAUGAAACUUGCGACUAGUUACUAAAACUACAGAACUAUGCAGCAACUCUGAAAGAGUAAGUAUAUGGUUUGAUUAGUGCUCAAUGCUCAGAAAAUAAUAACAGACGAUGUUAAGUCGUUUCACAACUUCGAGUCAAUAGCGGCUUUACUCUGAGAGUCGUAAUGUAGCGAAAUUCCUUGGCCGAUAAAUACGGUCCCGCAUGAAUCUAAUAACGACACGUUUACUGUCAUGCCUUUCUGUUUAGCGAAAUUAAAAUGGGUGUGCAGAUGCAUUCUUACUGAACUAAGACGAAAAGACCCUAUUGACCUUUACUAUAAAUUGUCAUUGCAGACGUGUAACAUAUGAUCAGAAUAGGUAGUAGCUUAUAAAACUCUGGUGGUUGUUUCCGCUCGAGUGAAGCGCUCGUGAGAUACUAUCCUUAAGUUUCGCCGACAGCUGUACUUUAAGGACAGUGACAAUCUGGUAGUUUGUUUGGGGCGAAAUUCUUCUAAAAGGUAACGAAGAAGUACAAAAGGUGAACUCCGGUAAAAAUUUUUAUCAUAGAGUGUAAGAAUAAAUGUUCGCUUGAUUGUAAGACGGAUGAGUCGAGCAAAGACGUAAGUCGGUUCUAGUGAUCUAACUUCGCUGAUUAAAAAGGGAGUUACUCAUCAGAUAAAAGGUACCCUAGGGAUAACAGAAUUAUAAAAAUCGAGCGAUCAUAGCGACAUUUUUGUUUGUGACCUCGAUGUCGGCUUAUGGCAACCUUGAGGUGAAAAAGCUUCAAAGGGUUUGACUGUUCGUCAAAGAAUGCCGUACAUGAGCUGGGUUUAAAACGAUGUGAAUCAGUUUGGUUUCUAUCUAGUUCAGGCUAAAAAACUUAGGAAUCCUUACCUUAGUAUGAGAAGAAUGGGUAAGAAAAGCCUAUUGUAAUCAAGGGUUCAACCAUGAGCAUUUUGAUUGGCAACGCUUUUGGAAGAAAAGAUGAAAGCAUCUAUAGUCUUGUAGUCCCUUCCUAGACAAGUUUAAAGUAUUAUUUUCAAUACAAAAUCUUUAGGGUUUUAGAUGAAAACCUUUUCGGGCUGUUGGUAUUAUCCCCGUGAGGGGUUUUGAACUUAGCGCCGCGAAUUUU